GUAGGAAUAGCUCAGUGGUAGAGUGCACGGUUAGCAUGCAUGAGGUCCUGGGUUCAAUCCCCAGUACCUCCU
rfam:Camelus ferus unplaced genomic scaffold scaffold2797, whole genome shotgun sequence.